CUCAAAUUUCACAUCUCUCCGUCUUACUGAAACCCUAUCCUCUAUUCACCGAAGUACCAAACUUUAUGUCCUUCCGAUCCCAUUCCAUCGAAUCGAAAUUAAUCCCUUUCAACUUUCAAUUCCACUGGAGCUCCUAGUUUGUACUUCUCUCAACCGUUUCAAUUUAUCUCCGAAAAAUGGCGAAUAGUGAUUUCGGCGAGGCUUAUAAUUGUCUAGAUCCAUAUUGUCUUAAACACAUAUGCUUGAUUCGGUCGUUUCCUCGUAAUUACUCUCAAUUUCUUAAACUUUUGUGUUCUUUCAUAUUGAUUUUCUCUUAAAAACUAGGUCCGCCAUCUCUCUCUUAGGGUUUUCUCAAAAUCAAGAUCUUUUUUUCUUUUUUCUUUUUUUCCAUUUGAGUUUUAUUAUUGUUUUGGUUUCAAUUUUAGUUUGCAAGAAGAUCUGGUACCUAAGCAUCUAAGGUAAUUUUACCAGAUUUCAGGGUUUUUGCAUAGUUUUGUAGUUUGGAUGUUGAUUUAUGUGUUGGGUGUACGAUAUAAUUAGGUUAUGAAUGUGUGUGUUUGUGCUUUCAUUUUCGUAUUAAUGGUUUGUUUAUCUGUUGUAGGAUGUGUGCAGUUGUUACUGGUGCAAACAAAGGAAUCGGGCAUGAGAUUAUUCAAAGAUUGGCCCUUGAAGGUGUGACUCAACAACUAGAAAUGAAAAGAACGAUUUCAUGAGGUACUCUAGGGAAGAUGUUCAGAGACGACCUCCAAGCACAGGCUUCAGAAGCAAGUUGAUGGACUUAAAUUGUUAUUCAAGGUGGGCUUGUAUCUUCUUGAUUAUAUGGUUUUACUAUUAUUAAGGGACUUUUGAAAUGGUUUGUUUUGCGAAUCUGUGAGUCGAUCAUAACAUGCUUAUUAAAGGUACUCCCUUAACGACAUCUUAAUAUUUUUUAAAUUGAGAUAUAUAAUCUAAUCCACCAGUAACGCAGAAAUGCUGCUGUCUAUAUUUAAUACCUGCUCAUUGCCAUGUUACUGAUAGGUUUAUCGAGCUGGUGUUCCUUUAUAUUUGUGGUUUAAGUUUUAACCCAGAUUUGUUUUGCACCUAGAGGAUGCUUACUAAUCCAACCUUUUUGUCCAAUAAUUUCAUCUAGAUGGCCAAACUUCCUCUGUGCACGUUCCGUUCUCUCUUCGGGCUCGAUUCAACUUCACUAGUCUUGGUCGCUUUGGUGGCCCCUUUCUCAAAAUGGUGCAACAUUAAAGUGGUUUACAACAUGUAAGGUAUUGAUUGAUGCUGGACCAAGUGGAAUAAUGUUGUUGAUGCCGUCGUAACUUAGGAAGGUGUUCCAAUUGUCAACCAAUCUACUGUUGUUGCCUGGGAGGUCAAUAAGUCUUCUCUAAAGAAAAGCUGCAAGUCCAAUGUAUCCAGAAGAAAGCAGAGACGAAUCAUGAUUUCAACAACUUAAAUUUAAGAUGCGUGACUCCCAGGUAUACAUGCAUCUUGAAAAUGCACAUUGUUUUUGAUGAUAGUAAUGCCAUUCUCAGGUCUUGCUAGGAUUAAAUUCACUCCACUCCAAAUUUUUUGCAUAACUCAGUAAGUAGUUUAGAUACAACUAAUUUGUAUUCAUCUGUAGAUUUUAUGAUUUAAUCAUCUUAUAUAUGCUACGUAUACUGAAUGUGUCAAGCAUUCGUUUAUAUGUAAUUGAUUCACAUCAGGAAGUAUUUAAAAAUAACUUGGAAUCUUGUUAUACAUGAUGUUAGGAUCCUUAUACCUCCGUACGUCUGUUGUUAUUUUAAAGAGCUUCAUGAAAAGAGCAGCUGCAGGUGUUUUAUGCUGAUUCUAGAAAGGGAAAUCCACAAAGCAAUGAUGAUUAUGACGAGUUCAAUGAUGAAAGUAUGACAAAUGCUAUAGAGAUGGAGUACUUGGAGACGUUUUAGCAAAUUGAAUUCAGAAUUUGUUUGGAUGUAAAUUUGGGUAGUUAAUGUAGGAUGCAUUUAUCCUUUUUUGUAUAAACUUGAGUUCAUAUUUUAAAUAAAAUUAAGGUAUAUUUAGUUUUAAA